UACGUAGGCAGCGAGCGUUGUUCGGAGUUACUGGGCGUAAAGCGUGCGUAGGCGGCGGUCCAUGUCUGGUGUGAAAAUCUCCCGGCUUAACUGGGAGGGUGCGCCGGAAACGGGGCUGCUGGAGUGCGGGAGAGGUAAGCGGAAUUCCAGGUGUAGCGGUGAAAUGCGUAGAUAUCUGGAGGAACACCGGUGGCGAAGGCGGCGUCUGGACUGCAACUGACACUGAGGAACGAAAGCCAGGGAGCAAACGGG
rnacentral:rRNA from 1 species